GGGGUUGUGGCUCAGUGGUAGAGCGCUUGCUUGCCUAGCAUGUGUGAGGUACUGGGUUCAAUUCUCAGCACUGCA
rnacentral:tRNA from 1 species